GUAGGUGGCAAGCGUUGUCCGGAAUUAUUGGGCGUAAAGCGCGCGCAGGCGGUUCUUUAAGUCUGAUGUGAAAGCCCACGGCUCAACCGUGGAGGGUCAUUGGAAACUGGAGAACUUGAGUACAGAAGAGGAAAGCGGAAUUCCACGUGUAGCGGUGAAAUGCGUAGAGAUGUGGAGGAACACCAGUGGCGAAGGCGGCUUUCUGGUCUGUAACUGACGCUGAGGCGCGAAAGCGUGGGGAGCAAACAGGAUUAGAUACCCUGGUAGUCCACGCCGUAAACGAUGAGUGCUAAGUGUUAGGGGGUUUCCGCCCCCCUUAGUGCUGCAGCUAACGCACUAAGCACUCCGCCUGGGAUACGGCCGCAAGGCUG
rnacentral:rRNA from 1 species